rnacentral:tRNA from 1 species
GCCGAAGUGGUGGAAUAGGUAGACACGCCGUCUUGAGGGGGCGGUGGCUUCGCGCUGUGCCGGUUCGAGUCCGGCCUUCGGCACCA